rnacentral:rRNA from 1 species
AUUGAACGCUGGCGGCAGGCUUAACACAUGCCAGUCGAGCGGAGAUGAGGUGCUUGCACCUUAUCUUAGCGGCGGACGGGUGAGUAAUGCUUAGGAAUCUGCCUAUUAGUGGGGGACAACAUUACGAAAGGAAUGCUAAUACCGCAUACGCCCUAAGGGGGAAAGCAGGGGACCUUCGGACCUUGCGCUAAUAGAUGAGCCUAAGUCGGAUUAGCUAAUUGGUGGGGUAAAGGCCUACCAAGGCGACGAUCUGUAGCGGGUCUGAGAGGAUGAUCCGCCACGCGGGGACUGAGACACGGCCCAGACUCCUACGGGAGGCAGCAGUGGGGAAUAUUGGACAAGGGGCGCAAGCCUGAUCCAGCCAUGCCGCGUGUGUGAAGAAGGCCUUCGGGUUGUAAAGCACUUUCAGUAGGGAGGAAGGGUGUUGUGUUAAUAGCACAGCAUUUUGACGUUACCUACAGAAGAAGCACCGGCUAACUCUGUGCCAGCAGCCGCGGUAAUAC